rnacentral:tRNA from 1 species
GAUCCGUAGCUCAGCCGGUAGAGCAACUGACUUUUUAAUCAGUGGGUCACGCGUUCGAAUCGCGUCGGGAUCA